CGCUGUGAGUAUACCCGUUGGUGUGGAGUAACUUGCAUAAAUUAACCUGUGUGAUCGUUGGAGUCCUCCAGGACUAGGAGGGCGGCCCUACCCCUAUAACAGCGUGGUGGGCGAGCCGCUAGAAGUGUACGUCCAAACAGCCACAGCAACGAGACUUUAUUUUGGUCGUGUUUCCAUCGCCCCUCUUUCAGCCCAAGCGCAGUGGAGGACGCCGGGCGCUUUCCCUUGUGGUGUUGCACUGAUAGUGUGGUGAGUGAGAUUUUACAAUUAAUAAGCUUUUCACGUUGGAGUGGUGCUGUGUAUUUGCUGUGUGUCUUGUCAGACGAAGCCCCGUACCAUCCAUUCCCUCUACUGGGCAGAGGACGGAGAGGCUAACGACCUCAGAAAUUACUGCUACCAUACGCUGUGUGCUGUUUCGGAGUACGAAGGGAUACAGACCAAGAGCUGUCAAGGGCUGUGAGUAAAAUAUUGGAAAUAUUCGUGGUGUAAACUUACCUGUGUCUGUCUUUGUCGCAGAGUCAGAGGCGAAAGGGUCCGCCGCCCCCGUGGUCUCUACAAAAGGGCGCCCCUGUCCAGGAUUCGAUCGGCCUACGGGCAGUGGAGGUAGGGCAGCGCUCGACCCGGCGAGGUGGUGUGUGACCUUCGCCCCUCUGCUGACCUACAGAGGAAACCGUACCUACCCAGAAAGCUGUAAGCAGCAGAGCCGUGGCCGCCUGUGGAGAGAAAGGAAGACGAGAGUGAACAAUUGGAGAACAGACCGUGUAACGUGCUACCUACCCCGAGAGCAGUAAACAGCAGAACCGGUGAGGAAUAUACCAAAUCCAAGCUAACAGUGUUUCUGUGUCGCAGUGAUCACCUGUGGGGAAUAAGGAGAACGAGGGUGGACGUACGACGGGGAACGUGAAGGCACGCGGGGCGAGACCCCCUGCCGAACUGAGGAAAGGUACACGGACAGUGGGAAAUCCCCUACCAGUCACACCGAAAUUGUCUGCCUCCAGGAAAGAAGAAGGAGGGCGCCACGGUUAGCAGGGUCCAGGCCGGAGCCUGACGUUUCCCUCUUCCCCCCGGCUUAUGGUGGUUGGCACCCCUGUUGCCUUUGCCCCAGUCUGCCCGUGGCUGUAGUCUCCCUGGAGGGAGGAGAAGAAGCCUAUUAGUUUUAAAUUCCCCUUUCCCCAAUUCCCCAGUUCUUUUAAGUAUUUAAAUUAAAUAAAGCUUGUUUUAAAUUUUA